UGAGUAACCUGCCCUUAACUCUGGGAUAAGCCUGGGAAACUGGGUCUAAUACCGGAUAUGACUCCUCAUCGCAUGGUGGGGGGUGGAAAGCUUUAUUGUGGUUUUGGAUGGACUCGCGGCCUAUCAGCUUGUUGGUGAGGUAAUGGCUCACCAAGGCGACGACGGGUANCCGGCCUGAGAGGGUGACCGGCCACACUGGGACUGAGACACGGCCCAGACCUCCGUACGGGGAGCAG
rnacentral:rRNA from 1 species